UACGGGGGGAGCAAGCGUUGUUCGGAAUCACUGGGCGUAAAGGGCGUGUAGGCGGUUAGGUAAGUGGGAUGUGAAAUGCCUCGGCUCACCCGAGGACCGGCAUCCCAAACUGCCCGACUUGAGUAUGGGGGAGGAUGUGGGAACUCCUGGUGUAGCGGUGAAAUGCGUAGAUAUCAGGAGGAACACCGGUGGCGAAGGCGCACAUCUGGCCCAAUACUGACGCUGAGGCGCGAAAGCUAGGGGAGCAAACGGG
rnacentral:rRNA from 1 species